AUUGAACGCUGGCGGCAGGCCUAACACAUGCAAGUCGAGCGGAUGAAGGGAGCUUGCUCCUGGAUUCAGCGGCGGACGGGUGAGUAAUGCCUAGGAAUCUGCCUGGUAGUGGGGGAUAACGUCCGGAAACGGGCGCUAAUACCGCAUACGUCCUGAGGGAGAAAGUGGGGGAUCUUCGGACCUCACGCUAUCAGAUGAGCCUAGGUCGGAUUAGCUAGUUGGUGGGGUAAAGGCCUACCAAGGCGACGAUCCGUAACUGGUCUGAGAGGAUGAUCAGUCACACGGGAACUGAGACACGGUCCAGACUCCUACGGGAGGCAGCAGUGGGGAAUAUUGGACAAUGGGCGAAAGCCUGAUCCAGCCAUGCCGCGUGUGUGAAGAAGGUCUUCGGAUUGUAAAGCACUUUAAGUUGGGAGGAAGGGCAGUAAGUUAAUACCUUGCUGUUUUGACGUUACCAUCAGAAUAAGCACCGGCUAACUUCGUG
rnacentral:rRNA from 1 species